UUACCUGGUUGAUCCUGCCAGUAGUCAUAUGCUUGUCUCAAAGAUUAAGCCAUGCAUGUCUAAGUACAGGCCGAAACAAGGCGAAACCGCGAAUGGCUCAUUAAAUCAGUUAUGGUUCAUUGGAUGUUACCUUGUUUUACUUGGAUAACUGUGGUAAUUCUAGAGCUAAUACAUGAUACCCCAGCUCCGACUGCAAGGAAAGAGCGCUUUUAUUAGAUCAAAACCAAUCGGGCUUCGGUCCGUUCUCACUGUGGUGACUCUGAAUAACUUUGAGCUGAGCGCAUGGUCCUCGAACCGGCGCCAUAUCCUUCAAGUGUCUGCCUUAUCAGCUUUCGAUUGUAGGUUAUGCGCCUACAAUGGCUAUAACGGGUAACGGGGAAUCAGGGUUCGAUUCCGGAGAGGGAGCCUGAGAAACGGCUACCACAUCUAAGGAAGGCAGCAGGCACGCAAAUUACCCACUCCCGGCUCGGGGAGGUAGUGACGAAAAAUAACGAUGCGGGACUCUUCCGAGGCCUCGCAAUCGGAAUGAGCACACUUUAAAUCCUUUAACGAGGAUCUAUUGGAGGGCAAGUCUGGUGCCAGCAGCCGCGGUAAUUCCAGCUCCAAUAGCGUAUAUUAAAGUUGCUGCGGUUAAAAAGCUCGUAGUUGGAUCUCAGUUCCGGACCGACGGUUCACCGCCCGGUGCUUACUGUCGGCUUCCGAACAGCCGCACGCCGGCUCGGCCAGGGUGCUCUUCAUCGAGUGUCCUGGUUUCGGCCGGCACGUUUACUUUGAAAAAAUUAGAGUGCUCAGCGCAGGCUGCAACGCCUGAAUAAUCUGUGCAUGGAAUAAUGGAAUAGGACCUCGGUUCUAUUUUGUUGGUUUUCGGAACCCGAGGUAAUGAUUAAUAGGAACUGUCGGGGGCAUUCGUAUUGCGACGUUAGAGGUGAAAUUCUUGGAUCGUCGCAAGACGGACUACUGCGAAAGCAUUUGCCAAGAAUGUUUUCAUUAAUCAAGAACGAAAGUUAGAGGUUCGAAGGCGAUCAGAUACCGCCCUAGUUCUAACCAUAAACGAUGCCAACCAGCGAUCCGCCGGCUUAUUCCCAUGACUCGGCGGGCAGCUUCCGGGAAACCAAAGUCUCUGGGUUCCGGGGGAAGUAUGGUUGCAAAGCUGAAACUUAAAGGAAUUGACGGAAGGGCACCACCAGGAGUGGAGCCUGCGGCUUAAUUUGACUCAACACGGGGAACCUCACCAGGCCCGGACACCGGAAGGAUUGACAGAUUGAGAGCUCUUUCUCGAUUCGGUGGGUGGUGGUGCAUGGCCGUCUCUUAUUGGUGGAAGCGAUUUGUCUGGUUAAUUCCGAUUAACGAACCGAG
rnacentral:rRNA from 1 species